ensembl:lncRNA
AAAUAUGCCAGAAUAUUGAGUUUGACAAUGGUUAUUUCACCAUGAGAAAGGCAACAUUUCGUUUACAGGAGAAGACGACAUAUAGGUGUCAUAUUAACUAUGUAACUGCAGAAGGACAAGAAACAGGACUGAUACAGUGUGAAGAGAAUGGCUGGACACCUCCUCCAAAGUGCAUCAAACCAUGUAGAAUACCUCGUUAUGAGAUUUUGAAUUAUCACACAAAUAAAACUGUGUUCCUGCCUGGAGAUACACUUGAGUAUGCAUGUUCAGAUGGAUAUCAAACUGCAAAUAAUAUGACAACUGGUACUGCAAGAUGUGACAUAAAUGGUGAAUGGAUUCCAGAGCCCCAGUGUCUUGGUAAAGAUUUUUGUGUGUUUGCUAAUUAGUGUAACAGUAUACACUUUGUGAAGCUUUUUUUAUUUAAGACUUUCUUUGGCUUUGUUCUAGUCAGUAGUAUUUCAUAUACUUUUUGGAGGUUUUAUGCUAUGUGUUGAAAUGUUUUUUCUUUCUUCAUAGCAAUAGAAUGUGAAAUGCUGAUACUGCCCAAUGGAGAUGUUUCCCCCAAGGAGGGUAAAUAUCGCAAUGGGGAUGUUGUGAGAUUUGCUUGUGCAAAAAAUUACAUAAGAGUGGGACCUACCUCUGCUCAGUGCUAUUACUUUGGAUGGUUUCCAUCACCACCAAUAUGUAAAGGUCCAUCUCGUAGAUGUGUAUCUCCAGUGGAUAUUGAGAUAGUGAAUACUGAACAUGUUCCCAAGCCAAAUAAUGAGACUGGAGUCUACAAAGUUAUACAUUACAUAUGUAAAUCCAAUGGCAGCAAUAUUAAAAAAGCAACUUGUAUGCUUGGAAAAUGGUCACCUGAGAUUGAAUGCAUUGGUAUAUUUUUAGAUUUGCAUACAAUUUCUUCUUUUUCUGCGGGAAUGCUAAAUGCUAAUUAUUAAUGCUUCUUAGCAUCACUGUGCCACUAGUUUGAAAGGGAAAUGCUUAUAUGCUUUCGUGUGUGUGUGUGUGUGUGUGUGUGUGUAUAUAUGUGUGUGUGUGUAUGUACGUAUGUAUGCAUAGCUAAUUAUAUGCUAAAGGAUAGUCGUAAUAAUGGGAAUCAUUUGAAAUUUGAACAGUUAGCUGGAGUUAGAGACACACUAUUUUAGUGAGGCAGACUUUUAUUAAUCUCUAACAACUGGAACAGAAAAAGCAACUACUUCUAAUGUGAGAAAAGAUGCGAUGAUAAAUUUAGUCGUGGUUCUUUGAAAGGGAUUUACCCUAAUGCAGAUGAGUAGCCCAUACCUCAAGCUCCAGGCAGAGUUCCUCUAUUUCCUGUAAAAAUUCAAAGCUUUUCUAUUCCUGAUUGUUCUUUUUUCCCUUCUUUUUUUCCCACUUACUUCCUAGUGAAACAACAAGAAAGAAGUUGAGUUGGCCAAUGCAAAGCACAGACCUAGAGGAGACUGUCCUUAUCUACCUACCAAAAGUCAGAUGCCUGUGGAACUGGCUUUAUGUUUAGGCAAAGCAGGAUAUUGCCUUUGAUAGUGGAGUACUGGGGCUGUAAAAACAGUCGUGGCCUCAUUGACUGCUUUGAUUUCACCACAUCCAUGGGCAAUGAUGCACAGAAGUGAGAGAAGUACACAGAGUGGCAGCUGCUUGAAGGAGCAUGCCCCAAAUGUCCCUACUUUCCCAGUUUUCUGGAUCCACUAGAAGCAACAAAUCCAGCUCUCCAGGUCUCCUCCUUCCUAGAUCUGCCUCUUUCCUCUCCCUUUUUGUUUCCUGUGGCCGGAACAGUCCCUUGUUCCUGGAGUGGCAAAAUUCAGUUUUGUUUCUUUGUUCCCUUUCCUGGUGCUUAUUUAGCUCUACUGUGAGCUAAGGUUGCCAAAAACAAACAAACAAACAAACAAACAGACAAAAAAAACCCAAAGAACCCCAGAGGCUGUGUCAUUUUUUCCUGUAGUAUCUCACCAUAGAGAGAAAGCCAGGGCAAACACACAAGAUAGGCAAGAGUUUGCGGCUGUUUGUUAGGGAAAGGAGGGACUACAAUUGUCACACACAGAAAAAUAUAUUGAUCGUGUAUUUUUCUGACUGUGUUUUCUAUGGGUUUUACAGCAUCUGAGCAUCUGAAGGCAGCUCAGAUGUUUUUGAGGCAAUACAAAAUGAUCAUGAUAUUAAUUAAAGCUUGAGAUAGCUGCUGAAGAAUUACAUAAUGCCAGUGUUUUCUUGGUUACUAAUAUUGUAAUCUGUGAUGAACUGUUAUACUUUGUCUUAUGUUCUAUUAUAAAAUGAAUAUGUGUCCUUAGGUGAGAAUUCAUGCCCACCUCCACCUCAGCUGCCUGGUGCUCAACAGAUAGCAGUUGAAAGAAAUUACAAGAAUGGGAGUAAAAUAAUGUUUUCAUGUCUGAAGAAUUUCCAGCUUGAUGGUGUGAAUGAAAUAACAUGUGUACAUGGGAAAUGGCAAUCACCACCACGCUGUAUUGGUCAGUAGUGCAUUUUUUUUUCUAUUUGUGUUGUUACAAAUUUAUGUUACUAUAAAUUAGCAAUCAUCACUAGCAGGAGGAUAAAGUUAUAUUUGUUAAGAGUGUCAAGAACAAGUAACUGCAGAAAAGCAAUAGUAUCUAAAUUGCUAAAGAAAGUGCCAACUGUCGGGCAGGAACUCUUCUUAAUUAAACAGACUUAUCUAAGGUGGCAUGUAAAACUUUCAGGUAGUCCCUCAGGAACUGUGUUUUAAAUUAUUCCUUUAGUAUAUUGCAGAAUGGAGUCUCAAUUUUGACUGGGGGUCUUUAAUAGUAUCCUGGUGAAAAUCUAGUAGUAUUUAUUAUUUAGUACUAGCAGUAGCAGACUGUAGUUCUUUUUUAUCUUUAUUAUUUCCUAGACAAUUUCUGUAUUUCUCACCUUCUUCUGGCCUUUACCUCUUACAGGAGUAUAAAUGAUAAAGCAUAACUCUGGCCACCUAUUCUAAAGCAUGCUGAGAAUCCCUUCUGUAAACCAAUGGAUAAAAUAUUACUGAUGCAAAUAAUAUCUUGUUGGCAAAAGUUCAUUAAGAGGUGGUGGAAAGAUUUUCAGAAAUGAGUAGUAGAUAGAUAAGCACAGGUCAAAUGAGGUGCCAGCUGGUGACUGAUGUGCACAACAUGCCAUGCCUGUCUGUAUUUUUAAGMUGGAAAAUUCUGAUACCACAUGGUUUCUCUUCUCUUUCACUGCUUUUAGAGCCUCCAUUUCUGCUGAUAAGGGGGAUAAAUAGUUUCAGAAAUUUUAAAUUUGAAAUAAAUUUUACUGAAAUAAAAUUCCCA